rnacentral:rRNA from 1 species
AUGGUCUCGGAACAGCUUCGUGAAUAUGAGUUGAAGCAAAGCAAGAAGAAGUUGAGGUUUGAAAGUGACUCAAAAGAGUUUGCGGAGAAGGAGAAGCAGAGGAGAGCUGCAGAUGGUCCCAAGGGUGCCAAAUUUGCCAAGGUGAAGAAGCCUUCUUUGCAGAAGAAGAAGCUGAGUACUGUUGCUGAGGAAGGUGGUACACCUCGGCGGAGUCCACGUGUUGCUGGCAUGAACAAGAAUCUUGGCAAGAGAACUGCUGAAGCUGGUGGAAAGGAUGACCCUCAGUGCAAGUGA